UGCACCCCGUGGAAGAGUGACCCACGCUGCAGUGGUUUGAGGAGGACUGUUGCUUUUGAGCUGGACUCGUGUUGUAGCAGUUUGCAGGGAGCUGUUGAUCAUGAGAUGGACUCAUAUCAGAGAAGUUCAUGGAGAACUGUCUUCCAUGGGAGGGACCCCACAGUGUGGCAGGGGAAGGACUGCUCUCCCCGAGCAGCAGGAGAAGCCACAGGUGAUCAACUGACCAUAACCCUCAUUCCCUGUCUCCUUGCACCGCUGGAGUAGAAGCUGCAGAGGGAGGGGGUGAGCCACUUCUGUGGGUGCUCAGCAUCUGGCCAUCAUCAGCCCAUGACAACCUGCCACUGCCUGCUGCCUCAGACAGGACCAGCACCGGCCAUGCUCAGCUCAGCCACCACCUAUCUCACUGUCCUUCCAGGGCCAAACCCCAAAGUCUCUCUCCUGCACAAAUAUCUGCCCCACCUCCAGAACUGGUAUGGAAACUGGUAUCUUUCUGGACAAAGAAAGUGAAAAAAAGAAGAAGAAAAAAGAAACAAAAUCAUUAUAAUAGCC